UUAAUUAAAGCCAAAGUAGCGGCAUACCAUUGUUAGUGGUAGAAGUGAUUUAGAAAUCUAAUUUAA
rnacentral:tRNA from 1 species